CAGAAGUUAGUUUAGCGGGAAAAACACCGGCCAUUAUUAUUUGUGGAUUGUAAAAUUCACACACAGCGAUAUUACACAAGGGUAAGCCGGAGACGUGGGUUCGAUUCCUACACUUCUGA
rnacentral:tRNA from 1 species